AUCAAUGUGUGAGGUGGUGCUAUGUAGCAGGAACCCCUCUUGCUUUGCAAAUAGUUUUUUGUUUGUUUUCCUUUUUGCCCAAUAGAGCCCUGCUCUACUGACCCUUCAAUGUGCCCGUGUGCCUAAAUAUUCCUGGUCGUGUGAAAAGAACCCAGGUAUUAGCUGAACUAAGGAGCACAAUUCUGCAACAUUUUGGCACCCAAACACGGGGCUUGAGAAAUGAAUGCAAUUGGAGAAACUGGUUGUUUUACCAGGCGUUGAUUGGAAAUGUGUGCUUCCCUUUAAGCAGUCAAGCUCAACUUGCAGAACUGAUGGGAACCCCUUGGGAAAACUGGCCUCAAAUGUUUGUCUACACAGUCCACAUACAGGGUUCUUAACCUGCGAUGAGGGAAACUUCCCAGGGCUUGUCUGGGUAUGCCCACAGUGGACUGGAGCCCAAAAUGCACACUGGAGGAAGUGGAUGGAGCCACGUGGAUGUCAUGCCUUAUGCAGGGGAGGAGCCUGCUCUCUUCAGCUCCUGUGGUAAUGUGGGAAUCGAUCUGUGAGACUGGAGUGCAAUGGCAUUAUCUCAGCUCACUGCAACAUCCGCCUCCCGUGUUCAAGCAAUUCUCCUGCUUCAGUCUCCGAAGUAGCUGGGAUUACAAUAGACUGGAUUUUAUCAAGGAAUGUAUUUCUUCUAGAAAAUAGAUACACUUUCAAAGAUACGUUAAUUUACAUGAGAGCUUGCCUGUGUGCACAAUAGAAAGCCAAAAAUAAAGAGGUUAUCAUCUAAUGGCA
rnacentral:lncRNA from 1 species